UGGAGACAAAACUCGUAACGCAGUCGAGUUGUACGUUCCACAUUACGCCAGAGGUCCCUCACGUGACAAAUGACAGCAAAAACGGAUUAUUUGAGGUAUUACACUCCCAUGGGUUAGUUAUACAAAAGAUUUGGUGGUAGUUUUGACAGUUGAUAUUCCUUUACCACGAAUAAGCAUAUUUACUUUCGACAAUGAUUGCUCCAUCAGAGGCGACCACUGUACUGUUGGCUUUGGGUAACGUGAGAGACAGCGAGUAAAGAGGCCCAACUCGGCGGAAAAGGUCUCCCUCCAGCAGCAGGUGGCGUUGUUUCGCAAUAAGUGUCGAAUUUGUACUUCAAAAUGAGACAAUCCUGCCAUGGAAAAGACGACUGGGUGGACAAAGUGGAAAGGAGGGGAAAACUCACCAUGCAGCAGGACACCUUCAGCUGCGGGGUCUUUAAUGCAGAUGGCCAAGGAAGUUGCACAGAACUUCCCCUCCCAAAUUGAUAUAGAACCUUCACAAAAGCACAUGGAACAACUGCGAAACUAAAUGGCUGAGGAUAUACUAAAAAUGUCUGGUAUGUAAAGACAUUUGAAUUCAAAGUCAAUGUAAAUUCUUAAUUUGUAUGUAGUUGUGUGGGACAGCCAUAUGUUCAGUUCAUGCCUAUGAUUUGAGUUCAACAAAGCCAACACCUGCUCCUUGUGUGUCACCGAUAAAUAACCUGGAUGUGGCCCAAAGACUGACUGGGUUAGUAACUUUAUUUAACACGUUUAUAAUCUUUUGACAACAGUGACGGCAUGUAAGACAAUUUUUGAUAACACAAUGGAUGGCUAAUUCGUUAUACGUUAUAAAUAAUAUCAAUGCAGUGUUACGCUUUGUUUUAGAUUUGAUGUUUUGCAUGCCAACAGUGGUUCAAUGUGCUGUCCCUAGGACUGAAGACAAGAGUUCAGAGUGAAGAACACAAACUGGAAGUGCUGUCUUUGUUGUUGAAAAUAUAUGCUA